rnacentral:snRNA from 1 species
GGAUGUGAGGGCGAUCUGGCUGCGACAUCUGUCACCCCAUUGAUCGCCAGGGUUGAUUCGGCUGAUCUGGCUGGCUAGGCGGGUGUCCCCUUCCUCCCUCACCGCUCCAUGUGCGUCCCUCCCGAAGCUGCGCGCUCGGUCGAAGAGGACGACCAUCCCCGAUAGAGGAGGACCGUUCUUCGGUCAAGGGUAUACGAGUAGCUGCGCUCCCCUGCUAGAACCUCCAAACAAGCUCUCAAAAUUCAUCCCAGGUUGAAAACCUCCAUGUUAUCUUGGUUGGCUUCAGAGACAGCAGGGAUAGACUCUUCAUGUCUUGUAUUGAAUUUAAAUGAGCUUCAGAGUUGUAGCACUAAUU